UACGUAGGGUGCAAGCGUUGUCCGGAAUUAUUGGGCGUAAAGAGCUCGUAGGCGGUCUGUCGCGUCUGCUGUGAAAACUCAGGGCUUAACCCUGAGCUUGCAGUGGGUACGGGCAGACUAGAGUGCGGUAGGGGAGACUGGAAUUCCUGGUGUAGCGGUGAAAUGCGCAGAUAUCAGGAGGAACACCGGUGGCGAAGGCGGGUCUCUGGGCCGUAACUGGACGCUGGAGGAGCGAAA
rnacentral:rRNA from 1 species